AGGACUAACGCUGGCGGCGUGCCUAACACAUGCAAGUCGAACGAGAGUAGCAAUACUCUAGUGGCAGACGGGUGAGUAACACGUGGUCAACCUACCUUUAAGUGGGGGAUAACUAGCCGAAAGGUUAGCUAAUACCGCAUACGAUCUUCGCGUGGCAUCACAUGAAGAUGAAAGGAGCAAUCCGCUGAAAGACGGGACCGCGUCCCAUUAGCCAGUUGGUGGGGUAACGGCCUACCAAAGCAACGAUGGGUAGCUGGCUUGAGAGAGCGACCAGCCACACUGGGACUGAGACACGGCCCAGACUCCUACGGGAGGCAGCAGUGAGGAAUUUUCCGCAAUGGGCGAAAGCCUGACGGAGCGACGCCGCGUGUGGGAUGAAGGCCUUCGGGUCGUAACCACUGUCGAAGGGGAAGAUAUUGACGGUACCCUUGGAGGAAGCCCCGGCUAACUACGUGCCAGCAGCCGC
rnacentral:rRNA from 1 species